GACAGAGGUGCCGAGCGUUAGGCGGAAUCACUGGGCUUAAAGCGUGUGUAGGCGGAUGGGUAAGUACCUUGUGAAAUCCCACGGCUCAACCGUGGAACUGCUCGGUAUACUGCUCGUCUUGAGCCAACUAGGGGCGACCGGAACAAACGGUGGAGCGGUGAAAUGCGUAGAUAUCAUUUGGAACGCCAAUGGUGAAAACAGCUCGCUGGGGGUGUACUGACACUGAGACACGAAAGCCAGGGGAGCGAACGGG
rnacentral:rRNA from 1 species